rnacentral:rRNA from 1 species
CGUGAGGAAUUUGCCCAUCGGCGGGGGAUAGCCGGCCCAACGGCCGGGUAAUACCGCGUACGUCGGAAUGAGCGCAUGCUCGAUCCGGGAAAGCAGCAAUGCACCGAUGGAGAACCUCGCGGCCUAUCAGCUAGUUGGUGGGGUAAUGGCCUACCAAGGCGACGACGGGUAGCUGGUCUGAGAGGAUGAUCAGCCACAUUGGGACUGAGACACGGCCCAG